GAGAAGAAGUUCCCCUUUGUAUGUUUGGUGAAGAUCCUUCUCCUGCCAUUCUUCUUUUUGGACCCUUCUUUUUCUUCUCUUCUUUCUUCUCUUCUUUGGACAAUUUU
rnacentral:ribozyme from 13 species